rnacentral:rRNA from 1 species
GAUGAACGCUGGCGGCGUGCCUAAUACAUGCAAGUCGAGCGAACGGACGAGAAGCUUGCUUUUCUGAUGUUAGCGGCGGACGGGUGAGUAACACGUGGAUAACCUACCUAUAAGACUGGGAUAACUUCGGGAAACCGGGGCUAAUACCGGAUAAUAUUUUGAACCGCAUGGUUCAAAAGUGAAAGACGGUCUUGCUGUCACUUAUAGAUGGAUCCGCGCUGCAUUAGCUAGUUGGUAAGGUAACGGCUUACCAAGGCAACGAUGCAUAGCCGACCUGAGAGGGUGAUCGGCCACACUGGUACUGAGACACGGUCCAGACUCCUACGGGAGGCAGCAGUAGGGAAUCUUCCGCAAUGGGCGAAAGCCUGACGGAGCAACGCCGCGUGAGUGAUGAAGGUCUUCGGAUCGUAAAACUCUGUUAUUAGGGAAGAACAUAUGUGUAAGUAACUGUGCACAUCUUGACGGUACCUAAUCAGAAAGCCACGGCUAACUACGUG